rnacentral:rRNA from 1 species
CCUACGGGAGGCUGCAGUGGGGAAUAUUGCACAAUGGGGGAAACCCUGAUGCAGCGAAGCCGCGUGAGCGAUGAAGUCUUUCGGUAUGUAAAGCUCUAUCUGCAGGGAAGAAAAUGACGGUACCUGACUUAGAAGCUCCGGCUAACGACGUGCCAGCAGCCGUGGUAAGACGUAGGGGGCAAGCGUUAUCCGGAUUUACUGGGUGUAAAGGGGGCGUAGACGGUCCUGCAAGCCAGUUGUGAAAGUCCGGGGUUCAACCCCGGGACUGCAUUUGACACUGUAAGGCUAGAGUGUCGGAGAGGCAGGCGGAAUUCCUAGUGUAGCGGUGAAAUGCUUAGAUAUUAGGAGGAACACC